CCCGCUGAACUUAAGCAUAUCAAUAAGCGGAGGAAAAGAAACUAACAAGGAUUCCCCUAGUAACUGCGGGUGAAGCGGGAAGAGCUCAAAUUUUGAAUCUGGCGGUGUUUGGCCGUCCGAGUUGUAAUCUAGAGAAGCGUCUUCCGCGCUGGACCGUGUACAAGUCUCCUGGAAGGGAGCGUCAUAGAGGGUGAGAAUCCCGUCUUUGACACGGACUACCAGUGCUAUGUGAUGCGCUCUCGACGAGUCGAGUUGUUUGGGAAUGCAGCUCAAAAUGGGUGGUAAAUUCCAUCUAAAGCUAAAUACAGGCGAGAGACCGAUAGCGAACAAGUACCGUGAGGGAAAGAUGAAAAGCACUCUGGAAAGAGAGUCAAAAGCACGUGAAAUUGCUGCAGGGGAAGCGAUUGGAACAGCACUCUGUGCAGUCAGUCACAAACCAAUACUUUGUGUCGCUGUACAGACCCGCACGGCCCUUGGACAAACCCUCACACGGUUUGCCCGGGGACCCCUGCGCGGCGCUGGCCCAAACGACCCGUCUUGAAACACGG
rnacentral:rRNA from 1 species